rnacentral:lncRNA from 1 species
GAAGAGUCCAAGAGAUCUUGGACUCUUCAAUAGUUGUCGCCACAUUCACACAAAUCCCACGCCAAAGGAAAAGAUGGAUGCCCCCUUUCAGAUUUUCACUGUGAAAACUGAUUUCCCACUGUCACAAUAACUUUAUUUUGUCACACAAAAUAAACCACAUAUAGAAGAAAUAAGGAUGAGAUCAAAAUCUCAUCAAGAUAAGGAAUGUUGUUACAAAUCAAAUUCAAAACAUUCCAAACUUUAACAAUCCAUAAGGGGCAAUGAAGGGGCGCAUGAGAA